rnacentral:rRNA from 1 species
AUUGAACGCUGGCGGAAUGCUUUACACAUGCAAAUCGAACGGCAGCACGGACUUCGGUCUGGUGGCGAGUGGCGAACGGGUGAGUAAUGUAUCGGAACGUGCCCAGUCGUGGGGGAUAACGUAGUGAAAAUUACGCUAAUACCGCAUACGAUCUAUGGAUGAAAGCGGGGGAUCGCAAGACCUCGCGCGAUUGGAGCGGCCGAUAUCAGAUUAGGUAGUUGGUGGGGUAAAGGCCCACCAAGCCAACGAUCUGUAGCUGGUCUGAGAGGACGACCAGCCACACUGGAACUGAGACACGGUCCAGACUCCUACGGGAGGCAGCAGUGGGGAAUUUUGGACAUUGGGCGAAAGCCUGAUCCAGCCAUUCCGCGUGCAGGAUGAAGGCCCUCGGGUUGUAAACUGCUUUUGUACAGAACGAAAAGGUUUCUACUAAUACUAGGAGCUCAUGACGGUACUGUAAGAAUAAGCACCGGCUAACUACGUGCCAGCAGCCGCGGUAA